CUUCAAUCUACUGUCCAACGAUUGAGAUGAAUAGAAGUGAAAACCCUAACAAUGAAGUUUGGCAGGGUAGAAAUGGUGCUCGACAAGAUGAAGCGACGUGUUGAGUAUGCAUGGAAGCAUAUUAGUUAGUAAACUGUUGCCUAUCUACAAU